rnacentral:rRNA from 1 species
UACGUAGGGUGCGAGCGUUAAUCGGAAUUACUGGGCGUAAAUCGUGCGCAGGCGGUUUGCUAAGACCGAUGUGAAAUCCCCGGGCUUAACCUGGGAACUGCAUUGGUGACUGGCAGGCUAGAGUAUGGCAGAGGGGGGUAGAAUUCCACGUGUAGCAGUGAAAUGCGUAGAGAUGUGGAGGAAUACCGAUGGCGAAGGCAGCCCCCUGGGCCAAUACUGACGCUCAUGCACGAAAGCGUGGGGAGCAAACAGG